GACGAACGCUGGCGGCGUGCCUAAUACAUGCAAGUUGAGCGCUGAAGGUUGGUACUUGUACCAACUGGAUGAGCAGCGAACGGGUGAGUAACGCGUGGGGAAUCUGCCUUUGAGCGGGGGACAACAUUUGGAAACGAAUGCUAAUACCGCAUAAAAACUUUAAACACAAGUUUUAAGUUUGAAAGAUGCAAUUGCAUCACUCAAAGAUGAUCCCGCGUUGUAUUAGCUAGUUGGUGAGGUAAAGGCUCACCAAGGCGAUGAUACAUAGCCGACCUGAGAGGGUGAUCGGCCACAUUGGGACUGAGACACGGCCCAAACUCCUACGGGAGGCAGCAGUAGGGAAUCUUCGGCAAUGGACGAAAGUCUGACCGAGCAACACCGCGUGAGUGAAGAAGGUUUUCGGAUCGUAAAACUCUGUUGGUAGAGAAGAACGUUGGUGAGAGUGGAAAGCUCAUCAAGUGACGGUAACUACCCAGAAAGGGACGGCUAACUACGUG
rnacentral:rRNA from 1 species